rnacentral:rRNA from 1 species
UACAGAGGGUGCAAGCGUUGUUCGGAAUUACUGGGCGUAAAGCGCGUGUAGGCGGCUUAUUAAGUCGGACGUGAAAUCCCUUGGCUCAACCAAGGAACUGCGUCCGAUACUGGUAAGCUUGAGUGUCGGAGGGGGUGGCGGAAUUCCCGGUGUAGAGGUGAAAUUCGUAGAUAUCGGGAGGAACACCUGUGGCGAAGGCGGCCACCUGGAAGACAACUGACGCUGAGACGCGAAAGCGUGGGGAGCAAACAGG